CCACCCUUGUAUGUUUGAUGUUCUAACUUAGCCCCGUUAUCCGGGGUGAGGACAGUGCCUGGUGGGUAGUUUGACUGGGGCGGUCUCCUCCCAAAGAGUAACGGAGGAGCACGAAGGUGGGCUAAUCACGGUUGGACAUCGUGAGGUUAGUGCAAUGGCAUAAGCCCGCUUAACUGCGAGAAUGACGGUUCGAGCAGGUGCGAAAGCAGGUCAUAGUGAUCCGGUGGUUCUGUAUGGAAGGGCCAUCGCUCAACGGAUAAAAGGUACUCCGGGGAUAACAGGCUGAUACCGCCCAAGAGUUCAUAUCGACGGCGGUGUUUGGCACCUCGAUGUCGGCUCAUCACAUCCUGGGGCUGAAGUCGGUCCCAAGGGUAUGGCUGUUCGCCAUUUAAAGUGGUACGCGAGCUGGGUUUAGAACGUCGUGAGACAGUUCGGUCCCUAUCUGCCGUGGGCGUUGGAAGAUUGAAGGGGGCUGCUCCUAGUACGAGAGGACCGGAGUGGACGAACCUCUGGUGUUCGGGUUGUGUCGCCAGACGCAUUGCCCGGUAGCUAAGUUCGGAAUCGAUAACCGCUGAAAGCAUCUAAGCGGGAAGCGAGCCCUGAGAUGAGUCUUCCCUGACAGUUUA
rnacentral:rRNA from 1 species